AACUGAGAGUAGAAGUGGGAGUGAGGGAAAGAAAUUUUGCUAGCUUCAACACUUGCUAACCACAACCGAGAGAGAGUAAAGCAAGGAGAACUGGAGCGAGAAUCUAGUGCAAGAAAUUUGAGGAACCGAAGCAGAGAAUUAGGGCAGACUGCAAUUAUCGAAUUCUAGGGGAAAAGAGAUUUGGACUCCAAAUCAGGAGUACUACCUGAGCGUGAUCUGUAAAAGCACUACAUCUUUGGGGUACGAGCAAGGCGUGUGACGUGUACAAACUAGCGUAGUCUAGCUAUUUUGAAUUUUGACUUAUACUCGCGCUAUCACUCGAUUAGGAUGAUUUGUACUUGUACUUAUGUGAGAAUUGAG